AGCUGGUCCAGAGGCAAUUAGUUAUCUCAGUUGAUCAUUCAAUUGCAGAUUGAACUGCUUGUUUACUCUUUCCCUUCAUUCUCACUACUGUACCUGACUCGUCUUAA
ensembl:Y_RNA Y_RNA Y RNA